CAGGCAAAAAUCCUUCUGUUUUUAUAAUGCUCCAAGCACGUUAUACAUGUCAAUGUUAGUGCCGUGUGCCCUACAUAAAUAAAAACAACUUACCAAUGCUCAGCGGGGUGUUACACAUCUUACAGCUAACCUCCGUAUGCGCUGUCUGGUAUCAGUGAGUAAGCUGCUAAUUAGGGUUAGCCAGGAGUGCAGAACGGGGCCGAUUGCAGGGCAGGCACCGACCCAGCACGUGGCUGCACACUGCAAGUUGAACAGUACCCGAGCUCAAGGCUGGCUUUUAUUUUCUGCAUUGUUUCCCUCUGCAUAAACAUCAGGAACAUGCUUAGACAGUAGAAUUGAGCCCGGAUGUCUGGAGGGCAUCUGGAGGUGUUCAGGUGUGUGAUUGCUUCCUGUCUGCCCACCGCAGCGCUCUCCUGUCUGCAGUACAAACACAGCGCUGCUGGAGGUGUGGGUGCUGCGGGGCUGGGCAGGAACGUGGGUAGCAGUGAGAGGCUGCAGUGUGCAGUGUUUGGGGAGGGGGAGUUCUGAAGGAUUUUUGAUGGGUAGCUUACGUGUCUGUUAGGUGAGAGCACAGCGGUGGCAGUAGAAAAUAAGGAGCGUGGAGGCAGUGUCAGUGUGAGAUUUCAGCAACAAAUAUGUGUGUUCUUUUAGGUAGAAUGACUUAAAACGGUUUUUACUGCAUCGCAUUCAGUACAGAUCACACGAGUGAGCGGUCCUUGGGCUGCCCUUACCCACCUGGAGAAACAGCUGCCCCAGGAAGGGGCUCUGUGCCUACCCUGGCAGCAGUCUCCCACUCAUUUCCCUAGAUAAAUGUGAGUGUUCUGUGCAGACUCCAGCAGGAUGCUGUCCCACGUGUGAGGCCAGCUUUGGCGGGUUGUAACCCUGUGAGUCUUGCUUGUUAUUUAAGGGUGUGGGGGCUGCUGGCUCUUGGGCAGUGAGUUUGUGUUUGUGUGCAUUGGGAUGGGGGCGGAGAUGUUCCCUGUCACACCAUCAGAACCAGAGCUCUGGUGGCUGAGGGAAAAGCAAUGAAAUCCCAUUCUAGGAUUUCAGAGAGAAGGUCCAAGGGUGCAUAGGUGGCCAAAGCGUUUGGAGAGACACACAUGGGCACGUGUGUGCUUAACAAGAUUUGGUACCAAAAAAAAAGAAAAGAGGUAUUUUUGCUUUGAAAAUCCCCCUGAGGGCCCCGAUGUCUUCAUGGGGAGCUGUUUGCCCUUGGGCACAAGCCCCUCUGACACCUGGUGGGACAGCAAAAGGUAACGGAGAAGGCUUGAAAUUAAAUAAUGCCUGUGGACUUCUUAAGCGUUGCGUUGAGCUGAACAGAGCACUGUGGCUGUCCCCUGAGGAGCGCUGGGACAGCUGUAAGGGCAGCUUCUGUACAGCCUGCUCCCAUAACAUCUAAUUGCUUUCAUAUCUAUCAAACACUAAAAGCCUUUCUUCGGAGUUGUGCGUUUGUUUUUAAAUCAAAUAGAUUUAUUCUUGAUGUCUCGGGCACAUUAUUGCAGUAACCUCAUCCUUGGACCAAAACUUUGGCAGAACACACGUAUCUGUAAUGAGGACUUUGUGUUCUGUGGAGGCUUUAUUACAAAAGAGGAUGAACAAGUAUAUUAGAAAGAAAGGGGAGAAACAGGGAAGACUACUUUUUUUGGCAAAGCUUUGUGCUACAGCUCUCGUUUCUCUGGUUGCAGCUGCCUUCAGGCGCACAUCUCAGUCCCUUGUUAUGUUGUGCUCAACUGUUGAUGCUUCCCAGGUUUGCUCUUUGGUGAAACAGGCACGUGUGCAGGUUCCCCAUAAAAAUGGCCGGUUUGGGUUUUACCAGGAACUCUGGCACUUCUCCAUUAUAAGAAGGGAUUACAUUUUUAGGGAGAAUUAACAAGGCAGGAGUAGUGAAGCACUUGAAAUGUCCAGUUUAAUUCUCUCUCUUCCUGCAAACAAGCUCACACGAGCAGGUUUUUCAGAAGUCCUGAAAUGAAAGCUUCCUGGAAGAAAUACAUUUCCCUGUGGGACCACACAGCUCUCAGUCCUGCCUCCGUGUGAAGGUAAGAAAGCUCUGUUUUCAUUUACUAUUUAUGAGAUGUGCAUUCGUAUUACAAAGUGACCAUAGGAUUCUGGGCUCUUAAGAAUCUCCAAAUGAGAUGGAGCUCAUUACUUUUUAAUGUAAAAAGGAUUAUUGUGAUCUUAGUGACAGGAUAUGUGACCUCAGCUAUGUGUCUUGCUGUAGGAUAUGUACUGAGGCUUUUCCUUUAGGGAGGUGAUAAAGCACACGCAAGUAUUUUCCACGUUCUGUUCAGCUUAUAGAGAUAUUUAUUAGAAAUAAAACCAAAGGAGAUGUAUAUACAUAUUGUAAUUGCAGACCAUGACUGGUGAAUUCAUGUGAAUUUUACUAUUGAGAUAAAUGCAGGGGCGCGCUUUCAAAAUAAAGGCUCAUAAUUGCAUAAAGGCUCCUGUCUCCAUGGUUGUUCUCACGGUCCCAAAGGAAAGCAGAGUCUGAUUAUCAGGGAAUCUCCUGUGAAUAUUUCCCCAGUAAAUUGGGAUUUCCUUUGCAGAUGAUGUUCCUGGGUGUCAAGCCACGGCCCUGCUCUGGUGGCAUGUGAGGUGUGAGCCUCCAACUGCCUCUGGCUGUACUGCAGGUGGGAAGCUCUCUUGUUCUUGUGAUUGCUGUGCAGGUCCCUCUGAAGCAUGUUCAUUGUGUGGGGUUCUACAAGGUGUUGGAGAGGGGCUCAGAGGCACCCAUGGGUGUCUGCACUCUUCUCUGUCCAUCCAUGUGUUCCAUUGGUGCUCUUCCGUUAAAACGACACUGCAGAACGAAUGCAAAGCUGGCAGAAGUGAAAGGGUUUAUGAGGGAAGCCUGUUUAAAUGUGUUUAUUAACCAGAAGAGCUGCAUUUUCAACACUGCUGAUUGCUGUGCAGACACUACUCCUUGGUUUUGCACACUCAAAUGGUUGCUGUUUAAAAUGACUUGUAAAUUAUUAACGUGUUCUCCCAGCAAUCCACAGAAUGACUGGAAGCACAGCACAUGAGCUUUCUGGCUUUAUUUCUUGCAAGUACUGCUGGGCCUGUCCCCUUCCAUGCCCGUCUGCUUCGCUGAUGAAAGCUGCCCUGGAGCCUGCAGGUUGCACAUAGGUUGUGUGCACAACGUGGACGUUAUUUAAAGAAAUGCCAACAGGUAGGGAAGGUGUUUUGCUUUUGGGAGAACGUGCCAGAUGGACAGCAUGCCAAAGACAGCUCAAGGUAUUGCAGAAAAUAGUAAAUUAAAAUCAAAAUGUCACAGGAGAGAGGUGCAGCCCGGUUGAGUCAGCCCCAUUGCACGUCACUGUCACUGCUUGGUUUUCUAAACCAGAAGAGCUUGAAGUGAGGCAGGACUUGUCAAAAUGCCCUUAGGGAUUUGGGUGACCUGCUCCCAGCGUGCUGCCAGCCUUUAGGCAGCUUUCAAAACCCCAAACUAAUUUCCUUCACUCAGUUCUUCCUCUCCUGAGCUCCACAAGUGCAGUAAUUGCAAGCGUUUGUUCUGAGCCAUGCAAGUUUGGGCUCCACCGCUUUUAUUUACGGCAAUUAUAUCUGGCAGAUAAUUUCUCAUAAACUCAGGAAAAUAAGAAAACUCCUGCAAACUUCACAGACAGAGAAAUAGGGCAAAUUGAUCAAAUAAGCUGCUUCCUACACGAUCAAAAAUUACUAUCUGCAUAACAUUCUGGAACAGAAAUAGCUCUGAUGAAAGUAUGAAGGCGAGCAGGAACUCGCUAGAGGCAUCUGGGCAGAGUUUUAAGGUCCUGGUCCACUUCUAGCAAGGAGAAUCUGUUUGACCUUGAUGUGAGUUACCUGACGUGGCAGUGGAGCUGCAGGAUGGCAUGUACCUUCUCCUCCCCACUGGAAGCAUCCUGGCUUGUUAUGGGAUGCAGCCUUGGAAGGACGGAAUCCCAUUUCUGCCCUUCUGGUUGAUGACCAAUCCCAGUCCUUUUAUGCCAGCAGAGAGAACUUUCCUUUCUUUCCAUGUAUAAAAUUAAACCAGAGUGUUCAAAAUACAGCAUGUGAGGUUUGUCCCACAUCUCGUUUAAGUGAGCGUGUGGUGGCAGUGAAUCUGAAUUGCAAAUAGCUGAACUCAGGUACUGGGUUUUUCUGAAAUGAGCUUUUAAUAAUUAUUGAGCUUUUUCAUCUCUGCUGUGUAGCUUAAUUUACGUGAAAAAUUUGAGUUUCAUCUGGAAUUCUCGAUCUAGUGGUGUUAACAUCUCUGAGAAAAGUAAACGGUUGCUAGGAAUUAGGCCUGGGCUUGGAUGCUGCAGCUGAUUAACACCACAUAAGGACAAUUAGCAGCAUUUUUAGGAGAGGAUGGGAAGAAAUUAUCGUGUGCAGUUGAAGCUAUAAAGAGAAUUUUAGGGCGGUGUGUAAUUAGGCAAAUUAGGAUCGGGCAGUGGCUUUAACAUUCGUACCUUGAUGAAAUGUAUGUAUGAAUUCCUUAAGGAAUAUAUGGGUUCUUUAAUGACUACAGUCUUCUGUAUCAUCUCAAAGGUGUAUUUACAAAACAGUUUGGAUGGCAGAUUCAUACAGUGUUAACAUGACAUCAGUUCUGAGUGGUUUGGCAUCGCCAGGAAAGUUCACGAGGGCUUCUCUGCCUGAACCCUGAAUUUGUCUCAUUUGGAUUUGGAUAACAGGAGGAGACAGCUUGGGAAAUGGGAGCAUACAUCUCGCCGGUCUGAAGAGAGCUCAUAGCAGCUCAGGAUCUUUCUGAUUUUUAUGAGGUGACAGGCUGUGAGCUGGAAGUGCUCCAUCUCCACUCCCUCCUGCAGCACCUGGGCUGUGUCCCAGCCAUGCACCAGCUGUACUUGCACUGUGUGCAGCAGGUUUUGGAGGUUUGCCCUUAUGGGACAUGGGAUGUGGCUGAGCUCUUGGGGUGUGCCGGGACCAUGCUGGAUCCAUGCAGUGCUGUGUCCAUGCAGUGCCAGGUCGCUGCCUGUCGGUCCGCCUUGGUGAAGAAACAGACUUGGGGUGGAGCAGGGAUGCAGCUGGGGUGCAAGGCAAGGGCUGUGCUGUGGCCGAGUGUCUUCGUUCAAGACCCUCUCCACCAAUAAGACCAUCCCUUUGGUUCUAAUGAAAUCCUGGGACCCACCACUGAGCCCCUUGAUAGGAAUCCUUCCCCUGACUUUGUGCUGGAACAAAGGCAGUUAAUGAUGGUUUUGUACUUGGCCGGGGAAUGGCAAUAAGGAGAGAACAAACGUUGCAUCCCUUGGAGAGGCAGCAUCUCUCAUUACGUAUCCUGGAUCUCUGUUAUGGCUUUGAUCUGAUCUGAGGAACGAGAAGGAGAUGACUUAAAUGAAAUUAAGGGGUAGAAGCAGAGUUCUGGAAGGAGAUCCUGGGUGUGUUGUGCUCAGGGGUGUCAGGAAGGCUCCCCCAUAAGCCGCCCUGGGCUGCAGGGCUCAGUCCUACAGAUGCUGGGUCUCCAUGAGUGGAGUUCGUUAUACUGCUUGAUUACAUGUGUACCUUUCAGCAGCUGAUUAAGAGGGUUUGAUUGCUGAAUUUGAACUCCGAUUAGUUUAGUGGGGGCACCAAAACUAAUGACAUUUACAUGAAUUAGCUUCAGAUAUCAGA
rnacentral:lncRNA from 1 species